CGCUGAGCUAAAAGUGAAUCCAAGAUGGCUGCCGCUGCGUGGUCAGUAUCCGAACGGCGGCCACCCCACGAAUCAAUUAACUGGGGAACGCUACAAUGUAGCAAUCUGUUAAUGGGAGCCACACGACCUCCUGUGUGUGGUCUCCCAUUUGGUACUUUAUGCGUUUCAUGAACAGUGUUGAAAGUCACUGUUCGUGAAACUACCAUAUGAAUGCUAACAGCUUUCGUGCCACUAGCAUACGAAUGCCCUCUAUCACCUUUUACCGCGAACACAUAAAACAACAUAGGUUAAACAGCCUUUCUAGGACACCCAUGAGAUAUAUACAGUAAUAGUCUGAAGUGGCUAGGUUUGCCACAAUGCUCC